rnacentral:lncRNA from 1 species
CUUCCAUGGGGCAGAAAAACGCGCUUCUGAGAAACGGAGCAUCCGGAUUCAGAGAAUUGUCUCUGCGCCCUCCUUGGGUUGCGGCCCCUAGAGGUGUGUUGAAAUAGGCGCUGCGCACCCGAGCACUUUGCUCCCAGUCGCUGCUGUGCUGUUUUCUAGAGGUUGGCAGAAGGCCAGAGAAGCCUUCAUUUGGAAGUUUUAGCUUCUGUCCUUCUACCUUUUUUCUCUGCCUCUUCCCUGUCCACUUAGCUCAUAAACUUGAGGCUGCGGUGACUCCCUCCCAGGUGCGUGCCAUGUGCUGUGUGAGGACACCCCCCACCUGAUCCAGCAGAUAACAGUGUGAAGGGUGUUACCCUUGUUUUCUAGAUGCGGAGACAAGCCUCGAAAGAGCUGAGUGGCUUGUCCAGGGUCACGCAGCUGGGACCUGGUGGAGUCAGCACUUGAAUGCAGACCACCUCUCUUGAACCCGUGCCGUGAGCCUCCCAGCCCUGCUCAGCUGGGCAGGAGCGUUAAGUUCCACUUCUCUUGGAGCCUUGAAGGCAAGAAGGUGGCUGCUGUGGUCCUUAGGACAAGAAGGGACCCUGGUAGCAGCAGAUGGCCUGGCUGCUGGACAGUAUAGAGAGACCUGCCUUUGAGUCCCAGCCCCGCGGCCAUCGCCUGGAACCUCACAGUGUCACAGUGUUUCCUGUGAGAAUAGCAGUUACCUCCCGGUACUGUUCAUAAGAUUGGAGGAAGCAGUGGCACGUAGAGACUUAGAGCAAUGUUGUGAUAAGUGUGAGCUAUUGUUUUUAUUAACCCAUUUUAAGCCCUUAAGUCUGAGGCUACUGUGGAAUAGCCACCCGGUGAAAGGCUUGUUAGCACUCGUGAAAGGCAUAUGAGCAGUCACUGCAGUGUUGCCAGCAGAGCCCGCCCUGGACGGUUGGGGACCAGGUGGUCCUGCUCCUGCUAUGCAGGGCUUGAGCUUAGUCUCUGGUUUUCAGAAAGGUAUCUUGGGACCAGAACUUGUUGCUUCUCUUUAAUUAUUUUGCUCAUUGAACAAUCUUGGCUCCCUCCUUAUCUACCAACUUUCUUGAGACGUAGGAGUCAUCAUUCAGAGGAGGAUGGAAGGAAGGUUUUGAGCUUGUGAAAGUGUCUUGUUGGCAAGAUGUUCUUCAGCUCUGAGGAAACUUGUCUGUGGAUAGAGGAGAGGUGUUUUCACUCGUAAAGACACGUGUCAUCUGGCCCAGAGGAGGUCUGGUGCCCUCUGAAACUAAACUCUGUGGAGGAGGAUGGUGACAGGACUUGUUUUUUAGUUGAACAUUUAAUAUGUUUUAGAAACUGUCCUAGUGCAGUUCCCUGGUGGCUCAGCAAAUUAGGGAUCCAGCAUUGUCACUGCUGUGGCUCAGGUUGCUGCUGUGGCAUGGGUUCCAUCACUGACCUGGGAACUUAUGCAUGCCUUGGGGAUGGCCAAAAAAGAGAAAAACAAAAACACCGCAUGUGGCAGGACCCGCAUGUUCUGUGCUGCGCUGUGCCUGUGGUUGAUAGUGUGGAGUAGCUGUAGGAAGGAGCUGCCCCUGAGUUGGAUAGGGCAGGUGGAGAUGGGGGCGGGCAUUGCAUGUUGACUCCCGCUGGCAUUGGACAUAGGAGCUCAGGAACCCAGGAGAGAAACUGCUUUGGUCCAUGUGUGAGCACUAUUUUUCUCUUCUUCAAACCUCCCUUCGGACAUAAGUCAAAAGGCAGCACAGCCCUCUGCUAGAUGAAAUGCUUAGAUUGAUGAAGGCUUUAUCUCCCCCCCCAAUCCUUUAAAUCUUGCUUCUUUCCCGUCAUGACGGGUCCAUUGUGCUGUUUGCAUUUGGGGCCCAGGGCCUCCCCCACACCUUUGGAAGCCAUGUCCAGUGUGUUACUGGCGGAAACCCAUGGCCAAGUGUUAGAGAUUUCAUCCAGGCCAUCUUAUAAAUCAGUUCGGGGGAAGGUUUAUGUGAAUUGGCUGCUUCUGCUAUGAAAAGGGGAGUAUGCUAUUCUCAGCCUUCGUCAAUGAACAUGUGGAUGUUUUUUCCCAAAAUAUUUUUAUCUCUUCUUUGCAAUACAGGGACAUUCUGCUUUAAUUAUCUUUGACUUUGGUGAAAGGCUUCUUGAGUUUCUUAUGCCAUCGAGGUAGAAAAGGACAGCAUGUAUGACAUCCAUUGAAGACGUUUCAGAAUCGCCGCUACUUAAGUGUCAGAAUACCAGUUGACAAAGUGGAGGGAUUAGUCGCUUGUUACAUGAAACCAGCCAGGAUCCUGCAGAGGCAGCAGCUGUGGACAUCUGUGAAACAUUAAUGAUUAGACAACAGGUAACGGAGCCUUGCAGAUCAUCUGGAGGGGUCCAGGAAGCCAUCAAGCAGGGAAACUGUCUGAAAAGGCUUUAGCGUAUUUUGAGAAGUCCUCCGGUCAGUGAGAGUGUUGGGGAGAAUGGAGUCUGUAAUGCAGAGUGGCAGGAGAUUUCAGAAUUUCUUAGAUGAUAGAACUGUCC